rnacentral:rRNA from 1 species
AGCGAACGUUUGCGGCGGGCUUAACACAUGCAAGUCGAACGGGCUGUUCCUUCGGGGGCAGUCAGUGGCGCACGGGUGCGUAACACGUAGGUAAUCAACCCUCUGGUUGGGGAUAACACUUCGAAAGGAGUGCUAAUACCCGGUAUGGCGCAGCGGUCUUCGGAUCGCGGCGAGAAAGACCCGCAAGGGUUGCCAGAGGACGAGCCUGCGGCCCAUCAGCUAGUUGGCGAGGUAACGGCUCACCAAGGCGAAGACGGGUAGCUGGUCUGAGAGGAUGAUCAGCCACACUGGAACUGAGACACGGUCCAGACUCCUACGGGAGGCAGCAGGUGGGAAUAUUGACGUAAGUGGGACGAAACGCCUGACGCACGCCACGCCGCGUGAGCGAUAGGAACGGUCCGUUCGGGUAC